rnacentral:rRNA from 1 species
CCUACGGGCGGCAGCAGUGGGGAAUAUUGCACAAUAGGCGCAAGCCUGAUGCAGCCAUGCCGCGUGUGUGAAGAAGGCCUUCGGGUUGUAAAGCACUUUCAGCGGGGAGGAAGGCGUUAAGGUUAAUAACCUUGGCGAUUGACGUUACCCGCAGAAGAAGCACCGGCUAACUCCGUGCCAGCAGCCGCGGUAAUACGGAGGGUGCAAGCGUUAAUCGGAAUUACUGGGCGUAAAGCGCACGCAGGCGGUCUGUCAAGUCGGAUGUGAAAUCCCCGGGCCCAACCUGGGAACUGCAUUCGAAACUGGCAGGCUAGAGUCUUGUAGAGGGGGGUAGAACUCCAGGUGUAGCGGUGAAAUGCGUAGAGAUCUGGAGGAAUACCGGUGGCGAAGGCGGCCCCCUGGACAAAGACUGACGCUCAGGUGCGAAAGCGUGGGGAGCAAACAGGAUUAGAUACCCGAGUAGUC